rnacentral:rRNA from 1 species
UACGAAGGGGGCUAGCGUUGCUCGGAAUCACUGGGCGUAAAGCGUGCGCAGGCGGUUGUGCAAGACAGAUGUGAAAUCCCCGGGCUCAACCUGGGAAUUGCAUUGUGACUGCACGGCUAGGUGUGUCAGAGGGGGGGGGUAGAAUUCCACGUGUAGCAGUGAAAUGCGUAGAGAUGUGGAGGAAUACCGAUGGCGAAGGCAGCCCCCUGGGAUAACACUGACGCUCAUGCACGAAAGCGUGGGGAGCAAAC